rnacentral:lncRNA from 1 species
UCAUGAAACUCUGCCCACUGAACCCAUUGAACCAGGAGAGCUGAUUCCUUCAGAAGGAGGCACACAUGCCUAGAAUAAAGAUCUCAUUGCUGCAUUUUGGGUUUGCAAAGUGGAUGUGUCUCAAUCUUCAGAGAUGGUCUCGUUUUGCACGCAAGAUCUUCUUGCCAUCUCAACUUUCACACUCGGUGGAUACAAUCUGCUAUGCUGGAGCUGACCAUGUGAUAACAAACUAAGGGAGACUUCUCCAAAUAGCUGAGAAGGAACUGGAUCUGCCAACAACCACAUUAGCUUAGAGGCAACUCCUUCCUCACCCAAACUUUCAGGUAGGACCCCAGCCCUGGCUUACACCUUGUCUGUAGCUUUGUGGAAGACCUUGAAACAGAAGAUCCAAUCAAGCCACCCCUAGAUUCCUAACAUAUAGUAACUGUAAA